AUGCACAGCGCCUGCCAGCGCAUCCUCUCCCUGCGCGUUCAUCAGGACCCACAUCCAGGAACACACCCAGCUGCGCCUUGUUUGAAAAAGAAAAAAAGAGCUGCUGUAUGAAUCCCGCUUAGAAAACAGCUGAACCAGAUGAGUUGCAGAGAAAAUAAGCUAUUGAUUUUCCAAAUCUUCUGCAAGUUACUGAUGAAAAAUCAUGAUUGGAAGCCAUAAUGACACAGUUGGAUCAUCUGAGCUUUCUGCAUUCAAGGGGUUAAUAUUGGAAUACAGUGGUGCUCACGGUGUGGUCCCGGCUCACAGCACUAGCAUAACAUGGGGACGUAGACGUGUGAAUCCUUGGGUCUCACCCCAGACGCUGAAGCAGAUGUCAGUGGAAGCCCAGGAACUGAUGCUUUAACAAGCCCUCCAGGAUAUCCUCCCACAUGUUAAAGUGGGAGAACCUGUGCUGUGUAAAUAAACACUGCUGGUUCUGGACCAGAUUCCUUUACCAGCUGGUGCUGUCACUCGUGAGUGUGGGGUGGGCAGCUAACAGCCCAUAGUUACAGCCUUCACUAAACAAUUGUCCUUGGUUGAAAGCCCUUGCCCAGACAUGGAAACGUGUCAGGGGUGACGCCACAACCUCCCCCGGAGCCAGGCCAACCAGCGACUGAGGUGGGCUGUAAAAGUCCAGCUCGUUAUCUCAAGACCUGGCAGUUCUGCAGCAGGGCUCUUCCGUGGACUCAGGCCGAGGUCAGACUUCACCUGAUGCCGAGUCCCUGGUCGUCUCCUUGCCUUUCCCUCUGCUCUCUUACUCCUUAUACAGAAUCCUCCCUCAAUACCACCCAGCACUGAAUCCUUGUCUCAGGCUCUACUUUCCAGGCAAUCUGCUCACCUACAAUCAUAGGUCAGGAGACCAUGACCUGUGGGCCAGCCACCAGUUUGUG